GUCAGUUUAAUCUUUGGAAUUUCCUGUGUCCUCCUGGGGAUCUCCUUGCGCAUUAUAUGGACAGCAUCUCCCUGACUUUCUUGUAGAACUUGGAUGGCAGGACUAAGCCUUCGUUGUAAGAGUGUUUGUUUUAGGCGAUUUGAAGCGUUUUCAAUCAAAGAAAUGAAGCACUCAAUAGCAUAAUCGUCAGAAUCCCAGAAAGCAAAUGAUGCUUUAAAGAUCUCAGCAGAGAGCACACACCCCAUAAUGG
rnacentral:misc_RNA from 1 species